CAGAGGGUGCAAACGUUGUUCGGAAUUACUGGGCGUAAAGCGCGUGUAGGCGGCAGCGUGUGUCGGGCGUGAAAUCCCAUGGCUUAACCAUGGAAGUGCACCCGAAACUGCGCAGCUAGAGUCCUGGAGAGGAAGAUGGAAUACUUGGUGUAGAGGUGAAAUUCGUAGAUAUCAAGUGGAACACCGGUGGCGAAGGCGGUCUUCUGGACAGUGACUGACGCUGAGACGCGAAAGCGUGGGGAGCAAACAGGAUUAGAUACCCUGGUAGUCCACGCCGUAAACGAUGAGUGCUAGGUGUCACGGGCUUUGACCCUCGUGGUGCCGAAGCUAACGCGUUAAGCACUCCGCCUGGGGAGUACGGCCGCAAGGCUA
rnacentral:rRNA from 1 species